rnacentral:ncRNA from 1 species
GCACCACAACGGCUUCCUGACGUGGUGCGUUAAUUUCAAUGGAGCA